AGUGAACGCUGGCGGUAGGCCUAACACAUGCAAGUCGAACGGCAGCACAGUAAGGGCUUGCUCUUACGGGUGGCGAGUGGCGGACGGGUGAGGAAUACAUCGGAAUCUACUUUUUCGUGGGGGAUAACGUAGGGAAACUUACGCUAAUACCGCAUACGACCUACGGGUGAAAGCAGGGGAUCUUCGGACCUUGCGCGAUUGAAUGAGCCGAUGUCGGAUUAGCUAGUUGGCGGGGUAAAGGCCCACCAAGGCGACGAUCCGUAGCUGGUCUGAGAGGAUGAUCAGCCACACUGGAACUGAGACACGGUCCAGAAUCCGACGGGAGGCAGCAGUGGGGAAUAUUGGACGAUGGGCGCAAGCCUGAUCCAGCCAUACCGCGUGAGUGAAGAAGGCCUUCGGGUUGUAAAGCCCUUUUGUUGGGAAAGAAAAGCAGCAGGUUAAUACCCCGCUGUUCUGACGGUACCCAAAGAAUAAGCACCGGCUAACUUCGUG
rnacentral:rRNA from 1 species